GAGUGGAUUAGCGGCGGACGGGUGAGUAACACGUGGGUAACCUGCCUCAAAGAGGGGGAUAGCCUCCCGAAAGGGAGAUUAAUACCGCAUAACAUUAUUUUAUGGCAUCAUAGAAUAAUCAAAGGAGCAAUCCGCUUUGAGAUGGACCCGCGGCGCAUUAGCUAGUUGGUGAGGUAAGGGCUCACCAAGGCGACGAUGCGUAGCCGACCUGAGAGGGUGAUCGGCCACAUUGGAACUGAG
rnacentral:rRNA from 1 species